rnacentral:rRNA from 1 species
GACGAACGCUGGCGGCGUGCUUAACACAUGCAAGUCGAACGGAAAGGCCCUGCUUUUGUGGGGUGCUCGAGUGGCGAACGGGUGAGUAACACGUGAGUAUCCUGCCCUUGACUUUGGGAUAACUUCAGGAAACUGGGGCUAAUACCGGGUAGGAGCUCCUGCUGCAUGGUGGGGGUUGGAAAGUUUCGGCGGUUGGGGAUGGACUCGCGGCUUAUCAGCUUGUUGGUGGGGUAGUGGCUUACCAAGGCUUCGACGGGUAGCCGGCCUGGGAGGGUGACCGGCCACAUUGGGACUACGGUACGGCGCAGACUCCUACGGGAGGCAGUAGUCGAGAAUAUUACACAACGGGCGGACGCCUGAGCUAGCGGCGCCGCGUGCGGGAUGACGUCUUUCUGGUUAUAAACCACUUUCGCCUGUGACGAGGCCGGAGUGACGGUAAUGGAUAAAGAAGCACCGGCUAACUACGUG